CCUACGGGGGGCAGCAGUGAGGAAUAUUGGUCAAUGGGCGCGAGCCUGAACCAGCCAAGUCGCGUGAGGGAUGACGGCCCUACGGGUUGUAAACCUCUUUUGCCGGGGAGCAACGGGCGCCACGUGUGGCGCCACUGAGAGUACCCGGAGAAAAAGCAUCGGCUAACUCCGUGCCAGCAGCCGCGGUAAUACGGAGGGUGCAAGCGUUACUCGGAAUCACUGGGCGUAAAGAGUGCGUAGGCGGGGUAAUAAGUCAGAUGUGAAAUCCUGUAGCUUAACCCAGUAGGGCAAAAGAUACUGCAAAGCUAGAGUAUGACAGAGGCAAGUGGAACUACAUGUGUAGCGGUAAAAUGCGUAAAUAUAUGUAAGAACACCAGUGGCGAAGGCGGCUUGCUGGGUCGAUACUGACAUUGAGGCACGAAAGCGUGGGGAGCAAACAGGAUUAGAUACCCUUGUAGUC
rnacentral:rRNA from 1 species